rnacentral:rRNA from 1 species
CAGUCGCCGCGGUAAUACGAGGGGGGCAAGCGUUGUUCGGAAUUAUUGGGCGUAAAGGGUGCGUAGGCGGCCUCGCAAGUCUCAUGUGAAAUCUUCAGGCUCAACUUGAAGUCUGCAUGGGAAACUGCUGGGCUGGAGAAUGGGAGAGGUGAGUGGAAUUCCUGGUGUAGCGGUGAAAUGCGUAGAUAUCAGGAGGAACACCUGUGGCGAAAGCGGCUCACUGGACCAUAACUGACGCUGAGGCACGAAAGCUAGGGGAGCAAACAGGAUUAGAUACCCCCGUAGUCCCUGUCUCUUAUAC